CUCUGACGUCAUGGCGCAUAUGCUGUGUGCAUGCAGGAAAAGGGGAAGAGUUUGAGGUGCUGAGCUGAGCUGAUUAGUGCUGAAAUUGGAGAGAUAUGGAGGUGGUGAAUUUGCUCCGCACCCCCCAAUCUGCCUGUCAGAGGGAUGCUGAAAAUUUUCGGUUUGAGAAAGAUAUGAAAUAAAGGAUAUCUUACGUGGCUUUGCUGAUGCGCUUCGGAGGACGCUUCGCUGGAGAUGACAGCCCGUCUUCUUCUCUCCAUGUGCUGUAACAAAAGCAUCCCAUACAUACGAAGCCUGUCCCUUUAAAGCCUUGCUGCAUCCCUGCAGGUGGCCUGUCAAUUUAGCGGAUCCGAAUGACGUCACUGCAUGGCUGGAAAAACUGAUGUGACAAAUCCAGGAUGCUAAUUUCCGAGCUCAUUAAAUGGACACCUAAUGACCGUUUGUCCUCAGUAAGUGAGAUCGAUGUGAGUCCUCAGUGUGUGCUGAGGAAGUGAAGAUGUUACGCAAUUGGAGAAGACACUGAUGAGUCCGCAGAGGAGGUGCCCCGUUCUUGCUUCGACUUUAUUUAAAUGCUAGUCUAUGCUUGUUUACAAAACCUACACACGUUUAUGCUGUGGUAAA